rnacentral:rRNA from 1 species
GGCGAACGCUGGCGGCGUGCUUAACACAUGCAAGUCGAACGGAAAGGCCCUGCUUGCGGGGUGCUCGCGUGUCGAACGGGUGAGUGACACAUGUGUGUACUGCCCUCCACUUCGGGGUAAGCCUGGGAAACAGUGUCUAUUAUCGCGUAGAGGCCCUUCUGAUGCAGGGUGGUGGUAGGAUUGUUUGGGCGGUUGGGGACUGACUGGCGGCUUAUUGGUUGGUGGGGGGGGUAGCGGCCAACCAGGGCAUGGAUGGCUAGCCGGCCUGGGGGGGUGACCGGCACCAUGGGGACGGGGAUACGGCCCGGCCUCCUACGGGAGGCAGCAGGGGGGAAUAUUGAACAAUGGGCGGAAGCCGAAUGCAGCAAGGCCGGGUGCGGGAUGACGGCCUUCGGGUGGUAACCCGCUUUCGCCUGUGACGAAGCGUGUGUGACGGUAAUGGGUAAAGAAGCACCGGCUAACUACGUG